UGACUGAAACCGUGUGUAUUGAUACUAAAAAACUGUGGUUUCGAAAAUCGACAGUAACGCCAAAAUGAACGCAAGCGAAACACUCGUCAAAGUCAUCGUUUUCGUCGUACUGUGUUUCGUCGUUUCGUUGAUCAUCGUACCGCGUCUCGCGAACGUAAUAAUACGUCCGGCCUGACCCAUAAAAUGGCACACCGUUACAAUAAUGUCAUCGCCGGACCACCGCCAAGUCUCGUUCGACGUUGUUGCGCUGCGGCUGCUGCAAAAGCCGAGGAAAAUUCUGAGACCCGCGAUAUUACGUCGUCGGAAACAAUAGAAAUAAUAAGAUUAAGAAAUCAGAAGACCUAUAAAAUCUAAAAAUAAUAAUCGAAACAUAAUUCAGAAAAAAAACAAAAUUACAUUAUUUUCUAAUAUUAUUGUUUUUACUUUUGAAAUCUAAAAUAAAUAAAUUUAAAUGCAUAUUUUGA